GUGGUCACCUCAGCAGCACAUAUGCUAAUAUUGGCACAAUAUGGAGAAAAUUAGCAUGGCCCCCGUGCAAGGAUGGCCCCAAAAACUCACGAGGCUUCCUUUUUCUUU
ensembl:snRNA LOC120093303 U6 spliceosomal RNA